rnacentral:rRNA from 1 species
CCUACGGGAGGCUGCAGUGAGGAAUAUUGGUCAAUGGCCGGAAGGCUGAACCAGCCAUGCCGCGUGAAGGUCAGUGCCCUAUGGGCGUUAAACUUCUUUUGUGCGGGAGCAAUAAUGGUCACGUGUGGCCAGACGAGAGUACCGUACGAAUAAGCAUCGGCUAACUCCGUGCCAGCAGCCGCGGUAAUACGGGGGAUGCAAGCGUUAUCCGGAUUUAUGGGGUGUAAAGGGUGCGUAGGCUGUGAGGUAAGUCAGCGGUGAAAUGCCCCCGCUCAACGGGGUGAAGUGCCAUUGAUACUGCCUUGCUGGAAUGCGGAUGCCGUGGGAGGAAUGUGUGGUGUAGCGGUGAAAUGCAUAGAUAUCACACAGAACACCGAUUGCGAAGGCAUCUCACGAAUCCGCGAUUGACGCUGAUGCACGAAGGCCAGGGGAGCGAAAGGGAUUAGAUACCCUGUAGUC